ensembl:snRNA U6 U6 spliceosomal RNA
AUAUACUUAUAAAAAACAAAAAACUGGAAAAACACACAGAAGACUAGCACAGCCCCUGCUGGAGGAUGACACACAAAUUCAUGACGUGUUCCAUAUAAUU